CGUAAUUAACCUAUAAUUCGAAUCUAAAGUCACGUGGAUGGAAAUUCAAAUUCGUAGGCGUUACGUUUUGGCUGUCAGGCAGGAAUCGGGAUGCACUGAUAAAGUUGAUAUUAUAGAUUUUCUUGAACAAAAAGGUAGUUUAAGUGUUGGACAUGCUCUCAAAGGUCGGAGGGACGGAAACACGUGAAUAUGUAAAAAGAAACAUAUGACAUGAAAAUGAUGUCACACACGCUAUUGGACGCUACAAACGCUACAUAUCCUCCGGACAGACGAGGGGUGCUGAAAGAAGGUCAUAUCUUAAAGCAUCACACCUCAAAAUUCGUGCUAAUUCUCAUGGAUAUCUAAAAGUAUAACUUUGUGAAGUAACUAAAAGGCAGCAAUUUAUACAUUACUGACAAUUAACAAAGGAGGUCAAAAUAUGCAAAAUGGCACUAAAUGCUUUAGAAAUGCUGUAGAAAUAUAGUUAAAAAUACUGAAAAUCUGUCAUUAAUUGCUUGAAACAUUAUUAUCAGUGAGAAUCUUUUUCACUUUUCUUAAAAUUAUAAUAUUUUCAUUAUUUUAUUUGAUAAGGCAAACUUUGAUAGAAAUGUGCAUACAUUGUUUUGUUCUUUAAUAUUUGUACAUAUUUUCUUAGUUUCAUUUAUGUCAUUGUUUUUGUAAUCCCUUUUUGUUUUGUAAUUAACUUAUUUUAU